UACGUAGGGGGCAAGCGUUGUCCGGAUUUAUUGGGCGUAAAGAGCGUGUAGGCGGCUAUACAGGUCCGUUGUGAAAACUGGAGGCUUAACCUCCAGACGUCGAUGGAAACCGUAUGGCUAGAGUCCGGAAGAGGAGAGUGGAAUUCCUGGUGUAGCGGUGAAAUGCGUAGAUAUCGUAAGGAAGACCAGUGGCGAAGGCGGGUCUCUGGACAGUUCCUGACGCUGAGGCACGAAGGCCAGGGGAGCAAACGGG
rnacentral:rRNA from 1 species